UACGUAGGGCGCAAGCGUUGUCCGGAAUUAUUGGGCGUAAAGAGCUCGUAGGCGGUCUGUCGCGUCGGCUGUGAAAACUCGGGGCUCAACCCCGAGCCUGCAGUCGAUACGGGCAGACUAGAGUGCGGUAGGGGAGACUGGAAUUCCUGGUGUAGCGGUGAAAUGCGCAGAUAUCAGGAGGAACACCGGUGGCGAAGGCGGUUCUCUGGGCCUGUACUGACGCUGAGGAACGAAAGCGUGGGGAGCGAACAGG
rnacentral:rRNA from 1 species